rnacentral:lncRNA from 1 species
CUCACGUGGCAGGAGCGCCGGGGGUUUCAGCACGGAGACCCAUCCCGUCUGCCCCUGGACUCCCGCGAGCCCCGCGGGCCUCUCCGCUCGCCCGCCGCCCCCCUGCCAGGGGAAGGAGCGCAGCGUGCGCGCCGCCAGGAAGCGGCGCUCGAAACUCUGCAGCAAGAGUUCGGUCCCCGCAUUCUCCUCGGGCGCCAUGACGUGGGCGGGGCCGCAGCGUUGCCGGGAGACCGGGCGGAAGCCGGGCCUGGACUGAAGAGGGGGUGGGCCCAGGGCAGUGCGCGGCGGCAGAGAGGGGGCGGGGCCUGGGGGUAGGGUCAGGAGGAGCGUCCUGGGGGCGGGCUGUAGGGCGGGGCCAGGAUGAGCGUUAGGAGGGCGAGGCCUGGGGUAGGGCCAGGAUAAGCGUCGUUGGGGCAGGUCCUGGGUAGAGUCCAGGUUGGCGGGUCCUGGGGCGGAGUCAGGAUAGGGCGAUCCUGGAAGCUGGGCUUCAGAAGCGUCCAGGUUGGUGGCGUCCUGGAGGCGGUGCCUUGCGUGUGGGCAGGAUAAGAGUCCUGGAGGCGAGCAUUAGAGCGGGGAUAAACGCCAUUGGGUUCAGGAGGCGGGACUCAGAGCAGAGCCCAGGAGACAGGUCUUAGGGUGGGGCUAAGGCCAGACCCAGAGAAGGGCUCAGGAGGCGGGGCCGGGGCGGGGGGUUGACUAUGUCGUAGCACAUGGCCAGGCGGUGCGCGGACUCUGGGAGGCAGAGCUUUGGACGGGCCGACGUGGGGAGGGGCCCAGGGUCCAGGAGGCGGGGCCGAGUCCGGGCUGCCAGCUGCGCUCAGGAGGCGGGCCCUGGGAGGCGGAGCUUAGGGAGGGGCCGGUGUCGGGAGGGACCCAGGGACUGGGAGGCCGGUCGGGGCUGGGCUCAGGGGCCGAGACCUAGCUGGGCUUGGGGCGGGGCCGAGACGGAGCGAGGGAUCCAGGGUGUGGGAAACGGGGAGGGGUUUGAGGAGGGGAUCGGAAUGUGGCUCAAGUUGGGAGGCGUUACCUGCGGAGGGUUUGAGGCACGCCCAGGAGCGAGCCCACGGUCGGCCGACGCGGGGCCAGGGGCGGGCCCCAGGAUCCGGAGCUUCGGGCGGGGCCGAGUCUGGGUUUGGGGCCCGGGAGGCGGGGCCAGUUAGGGCGAGGGUCCCUGGGAUCGUCGGGUCAGGCCUUGGGCUAACGUAGACACUCUCGCAGUACCUCCGCCUUCAGGAAGGUCUUUUUAGCAGGGGCCUUACAGGUGCACGCUUCGGUCCUGGAGGCCUUAUCCUAACCUCUCCAUCAGCGCCACCCGUCUGGGGCCCGAAAGGAGGGAGCUUUCCCUCUGUCCUCCAGCCUUUGGACUGUCUCCAAACAAGCCAUUCGUUCACCAAAUACUUAUUAAGCACCUACCAUGUGCCUGACAAGGGAGAUGUAACGUCCCUCUAUCCUGAGAUGGAGUCACCUGAGGAUCCACAGCAAGUCCUAACCAGGGAUGGGUCUGGGUGAUUAAGGAAGGUUGGCUUCAGAACUGGGCCAGGGGCACUGCUUUGCUUUUGCUGUUUUGAUCAGCUCUCUGCCUGCAGGAGACAAGGAAAACCA